rnacentral:rRNA from 1 species
GACGAACGCUGGCGGCGUGCUUAACACAUGCAAGUCGAACGAAGUGGCGAACGGGUGAGUAACGCGUAAUCAACCUGCCCUUCAGAGGGGGACAACAGUUGGAACCGACUGCUAAUACCGCAUACUGAAGGAGGGGAUGGCGUCUGAUUCGCUAGUUGGAUGGGUAACGGCCCACCAAGGCGAAGUUCAGUAGCCUGUCUGAGAGGAUGAACGGUCACAUUGGGACUGAGAAACGGCCCAGACUCCUACGGGAGGCAGCAGGUGGGAAUCUUCCGCAAUGGACGGAAGGCUGACGGAGCAACGCCGCGUGAGUGAUGACGGCUUUCGGGUUGUAAAGCUCUGUUAAUCGGGACGCGGUACCGGAAUAGAAAGCCACGGCUAACUACGUGCCAGCAGCCGCGGUAAUUC